GGGGAUUUAGCUCAGUGGUAGAGCGCUUGCCUAGGAAGCUCAAGGCCCUGGGUUCGUUCCCCAGCUCCG
rnacentral:tRNA from 1 species